GAACCCUAACAGUGAAAAAACGAACAAUGGGAUACACUACAAACUCCAGUUACUGUACAGCAACGGUGUCAGAACAGAACAGGAUCUUUUCGUACGAUUAAUCGAUUCCAUGACAAAACAGGCUAUUAUCUAUGAAGGUCAAGACAAAAACCCAGAGAUGUGCCGAGUGCUUCUCACACACGAAAUCAUGUGCAGG